ACCAGCAGCCAUAUCACCCUGCAGCCCAAGACUGGUUGCCCACUGAAGCUAAGCAGGGUUGAGCCUGGUCAGUACCUGGAUGGGAGACCUCCUGGGAAAACUAGGUUGCUGCUGGAA
rnacentral:rRNA from 1 species